CGAGAGCUUGCUCUUGUGGAUCAGUGGCGAACGGGUGAGUAACACGUGAGUAACCUGCCCCAGACUCUGGGAUAAGCCUUGGAAACGAGGUCUAAUACCGGAUACGCGACAGGACCGCAUGGUCUCUGUUGGGAAAGUUUUUCGGUCUGGGAUGGACUCGCGGCCUAUCAGCUUGUUGGUGAGGUAAUGGCUCACCAAGGCGACGACGGGUAGCCGGCCUGAGAGGGCGACCGGCCACACUGGAACUGAGACACGGUCCAGACUCCUACGGGAGGCAGCAGUGGGGAAUAUUGCACAAUGGGCGAAAGCCUGAUGCAGCGACGCCGCGUGGGGGAUGAAGGCCUUCGGGUUGUAAACCCCUUUCAGCAGGGAAGAAGCGAAAGUGACGGUACUUGCAGAAGAAGCGCCGGCUAACUACGUGCCAGCAGCCGCGGUAAUACGUAGGGCGCAAGCGUUGUCCGGAAUUAUUGGGCGUAAAGAGCUYGUAGGCGGUUCGUCGCGUCUGCUGUGAAAGCCCGAGGCUCAACCUCGGGUCUGCAGUGGGUACGGGCGGACUAGAGUGUGGUAGGGGAGACUGGAAUUCCUGGUGUAGCGGUGGAAUGCGCAGAUAUCAGGAGGAACACCAAUGGCGAAGGCAGGUCUYUGGGCCACAACUGACGCUGAGGAGCGAAAGCGUGGGGAGCGAACAGGAUUAGAUACCCUGGUAGUCCACGCCGUAAACGGUGGGCACUAGAUGUGGGGCUCUUUCCAUGAGUUCCGCGUCGCAGCUAACGCAUUAAGUGCCCCGCCUGGGGAGUACGGCCGCAAGGCUAAAACUCAAAGGAAUUGACGGGGGCCCGCACAAGCGGCGGAGCAUGCGGAUUAAUUCGAUGCAACGCGAAGAACCUUACCAAGGCUUGACAUAUACCCUCUAUCC
rnacentral:rRNA from 1 species